GAUGGGGAUGUUUUCUAGAAUGCCCACAGAGUAUUUGACAGAUCGAUCAACCAGUUACAGUGAUAUUGUUGUAGGUUUAAGCUCUCCUACCUCCAGCUUUUAACAUACUGAUAAGGGCAUUAGACUUACACUUGCUCCAAGAUCAUAGAGGGCCUUGUCUAUCCUCAUGUCACUUAUAAGACAAGGUAUGGAGAAGCUUCCUGAAUCUUUCAGCUUUGGCGACA
rnacentral:misc_RNA from 1 species